ACGUCCACCCAAAUCUCCGUUAGCUACGUACCUCUGACCUCUCGCAAAACCUACUGACAACUAUAGGUAUUCCAUCGCUGUAGUGGGGACAUCUUGACGGGACCAUCGGAAAAGUGCUGGAUUUGAAGAGGGGUCUGAACUUAUUGCGUGCACGACUGCCCAAAGGGGCGAUGCUGUCAGACCGUAUAUAAGGAUCAGUGAUGAACAGGACGUACACUGGAGUUAUAACCCACACGUCGUCUCCAUCGUGCACAGUGGCUGCUCUGUCAGACGGCACGGCAGUGUUAAUAUUCUC